UUUGCAAGGGUGUGCUCUGCUGGAGAUGUGGCAAAUGUGACAUUUAGUCAAGACUUACAGGAACCAAUCCACAGCAACGAUGAGUGAUAUGUCCUCGGUGGGCAGUCCUACAGAUGUCAAUACCAUCACCAUGGUUACAAGACCAGCUUGAGGAAUGGCUGCUGCUCCAAUGCUGGCAGCUGUUGCUGUGAUACUGGAAAUUUUUACAUUUUAACAAGCUCCCCAGCAGUUAUUAAGAUACCUGGAGGAUGUUCCAAAAGCUGUAAUUAAAGCCUGAAGCAGACCAUAGAUGAAAGUGAAGGGGUUCUUCCGUGUCCCCAAAUAGAAAAGUAGAGGCAAAACAAUGACGCUGUGGAUGAACAGACCAACGAUGACACACACCAUGUACAUUCCCAACUGUCCUCCAACCUCUAAAAGGUUUUUCAUUUCUAAUAGCUUCCCAGCAAUUAGAAAGAGGAUGCCAACAGGAGCAUACCUGAGAACGUGUGAAGUGAAAUAUCAGAAAAUAUUUGCCCAGCCAUUUACUACUCAUCAAAGCAUAAUUUACAGACAUACAUCAUUUUAUUUGUCAUUGUGUGUUAAAGGCUAUGUAUUCAAACACAACCAACAAACAGCAACUGAUCCACACAGAAUCAAUUAAUUACAGAACAUAGGCUGACACUCACCACAUAAUGAUUGCUACUAUGCUCAUUAUGGCAUCAUUGAGGGAGUUAAAAAAAUCCUUCAGUGGCUGGCCCUGCUGCUUCAGUUUCCCAAUUACCAAGCCAAAGAGCCAUGAGAAAACCACAAGACCUAGAGCAUUCAUUCCAUCAGCGGAUCCUGAGACUGGAAUCAUCUCCUCCACUGUCUCCUGGACAGUCUGCGGGACACUUUCAUUCGCUAUAACAGUGAUGUUCUUUGUCCAAACAA